CAGGCAUAACACAUAGAAAUCCAACGAGACCUUCGAAUCUAAUAACACCCGGAUGCCUCACACUUGCUAAUCUCCCCCAUGCUUCUNAAUAACAUUUAGAUAUCACUCCUCAUACCGGAUCUCCACGUAAGUCCAAAGAUUUAUCCCCGAGGGAUGAGCCCGCGUAGGAUUAGCUAGUUGGUGUGGUAGAGGCGCACCGAGGCGACGAUCCUUAGCUGGUCUGAGAGGAUGAUCAGCCACACUGGGACUGAGACACGGCCCAGACUCUUACGGGAGGCAGCACUGGGGAAUAUUGGACAAUGGGCGAAAGCCUGAUCCAGCAAUGCCGCGUGAGUGAUGAAGCCCUUAGGGUUGUAAAGCUCUUUUACCCGGGAUGAUAAUGACAGUACCGGGAGAAUAAGCUCCGGCUAACUCCGUGCCAGCAGCCGCGGUAAU
rnacentral:rRNA from 1 species